rnacentral:rRNA from 1 species
CCUACGGGUGGCAGCAGUGGGGAAUAUUGGACAAUGGGCGCAAGCCUGAUCCAGCAAUGCCGCGUGUGUGAAGAAGGUCUUCGGAUUGUAAAGCACUUUUGGCAGGGACGAUGAUGACGGUACCUGCAGAAUAAGCCCCGGCUAACUUCGUGCCAGCAGCCGCGGUAAUACGAAGGGGGCUAGCGUUGCUCGGAAUGACUGGGCGUAAAGGGCGCGUAGGCGGCAUGUACAGUCAGAAGUGAAAUUCCUGGGCUCAACCUGGGGACUGCUUUUGAUACGUGCAAGCUAGAGUGAGGAAGAGGGUUGUGGAAUUUCCAGUGUAGAGGUGAAAUUCGUAGAUAUUGGAAAGAACACCGGUGGCGAAGGCGGCAACCUGGUCCUUAACUGACGCUGAGGCGCGAAAGCGUGGGGAGCAAACAGGAUUAGAUACCCUAGUAGUC